UUAAGUUAUUAAGGGCGCACGGUGGAUGCCUUGGCACUAGAAGCCGAUGAAGGACGUUACUAACGACGAUAUGCUUUGGGGAGCUGUAAGUAAGCUUUGAUCCAGAGAUUUCCGAAUGGGGAAACCCAGCAUGAGUUAUGUCAUGUUAUCGAUAUGUGAAUACAUAGCAUAUCAGAAGGCACACCCGGAGAACUGAAACAUCUUAGUACCCGGAGGAAGAGAAAGAAAAUUCGAUUCCCUUAGUAGCGGCGAGCGAAACGGGAAGAGCCCAAACCAACAAGCUUGCUUGUUGGGGUUGUAGGACACUCUAUACGGAGUUACAAAGGACGACAUUAGACGAAUCAUCUGGAAAGAUGAAUCAAAGAAGGUAAUAAUCCUGUAGUCGAAAAUGUUGUCUCUCUUGAGUGGAUCCUGAGUACGACGGAGCACGUGAAAUUCCGUCGGAAUCUGGGAGGACCAUCUCCUAAGGCUAAAUACUCUCUAGUGACCGAUAGUGAACCAGUACCGUGAGGGAAAGGUGAAAAGCACCCCGGAAGGGGAGUGAAAUAGAACCUGAAACCGUGUGCUUACAAGUAGUCAGAGCCCGUUAAUGGGUGAUGGCGUGCCUUUUGUAGAAUGAACCGGCGAGUUACGAUUUGAUGCAAGGUUAAGCAGUAAAUGUGGAGCCGUAGCGAAAGCGAGUCUGAAUAGGGCGUUUAGUAUUUGGUCGUAGACCCGAAACCAGGUGAUCUACCCUUGGUCAGGUUGAAGUUCAGGUAACACUGAAUGGAGGACCGAACCGACUUACGUUGAAAAGUGAGCGGAUGAACUGAGGGUAGCGGAGAAAUUCCAAUCGAACCUGGAGAUAGCUGGUUCUCUCCGAAAUAGCUUUAGGGCUAGCCUCAAGUGAUGAUUAUUGGAGGUAGAGCACUGUUUGGACGAGGGGCCCCUCUCGGGUUACCGAAUUCAGACAAACUCCGAAUGCCAAUUAAUUUAACUUGGGAGUCAGAACAUGGGUGAUAAGGUCCGUGUUCGAAAGGGAAACAGCCCAGACCACCAGCUAAGGUCCCAAAAUAUAUGUUAAGUGGAAAAGGAUGUGGCGUUGCCCAGACAACUAGGAUGUUGGCUUAGAAGCAGCCAUCAUUUAAAGAGUGCGUAAUAGCUCACUAGUCGAGUGACACUGCGCCGAAAAUGUACCGGGGCUAAACAUAUUACCGAAGCUGUGGAUUGUCCUUUGGACAAUGGUAGGAGAGCGUUCUAAGGGCGUUGAAGCAUGAUCGUAAGGACAUGUGGAGCGCUUAGAAGUGAGAAUGCCGGUGUGAGUAGCGAAAGACGGGUGAGAAUCCCGUCCACCGAUUGACUAAGGUUUCCAGAGGAAGGCUCGUCCGCUCUGGGUUAGUCGGGUCCUAAGCUGAGGCCGACAGGCGUAGGCGAUGGAUAACAGGUUGAUAUUCCUGUACCACCUAUAAUCGUUUUAAUCGAUGGGGGGACGCAGUAGGAUAGGCGAAGCGUGCGAUUGGAUUGCACGUCUAAGCAGUAAGGCUGAGUAUUAGGCAAAUCCGGUACUCGUUAAGGCUGAGCUGUGAUGGGGAGAAGACAUUGUGUCUUCGAGUCGUUGAUUUCACACUGCCGAGAAAAGCCUCUAGAUAGAAAAUAGGUGCCCGUACCGCAAACCGACACAGGUAGUCAAGAUGAGAAUUCUAAGGUGAGCGAGCGAACUCUCGUUAAGGAACUCGGCAAAAUGACCCCGUAACUUCGGGAGAAGGGGUGCUCUUUAGGGUUAACGCCCAGAAGAGCCGCAGUGAAUAGGCCCAAGCGACUGUUUAUCAAAAACACAGGUCUCUGCUAAACCGUAAGGUGAUGUAUAGGGGCUGACGCCUGCCCGGUGCUGGAAGGUUAAGAGGAGUGGUUAGCUUCUGCGAAGCUACGAAUCGAAGCCCCAGUAAACGGCGGCCGUAACUAUAACGGUCCUAAGGUAGCGAAAUUCCUUGUCGGGUAAGUUCCGACCCGCACGAAAGGCGUAACGAUUUGGGCACUGUCUCAACGAGAGACUCGGUGAAAUCAUAGUACCUGUGAAGAUGCAGGUUACCCGCGACAGGACGGAAAGACCCCGUGGAGCUUUACUGUAGCCUGAUAUUGAAAUUUGGCACAGCUUGUACAGGAUAGGUAGGAGCCUUUGAAACGUGAGCGCUAGCUUACGUGGAGGCGCUGGUGGGAUACUACCCUAGCUGUGUUGGCUUUCUAACCCGCACCACUUAUCGUGGUGGGAGACAGUGUCAGGCGGGCAGUUUGACUGGGGCGGUCGCCUCCUAAAAGGUAACGGAGGCGCUCAAAGGUUCCCUCAGAAUGGUUGGAAAUCAUUCAUAGAGUGUAAAGGCAUAAGGGAGCUUGACUGCGAGACCUACAAGUCGAGCAGGGUCGAAAGACGGACUUAGUGAUCCGGUGGUUCCGCAUGGAAGGGCCAUCGCUCAACGGAUAAAAGCUACCCCGGGGAUAACAGGCUUAUCUCCCCCAAGAGUUCACAUCGACGGGGAGGUUUGGCACCUCGAUGUCGGCUCAUCGCAUCCUGGGGCUGUAGUCGGUCCCAAGGGUUGGGCUGUUCGCCCAUUAAAGCGGUACGCGAGCUGGGUUCAGAACGUCGUGAGACAGUUCGGUCCCUAUCCGUCGUGGGCGUAGGAAAUUUGAGAGGAGCUGUCCUUAGUACGAGAGGACCGGGAUGGACAUACCUCUGGUGUACCAGUUGUCGUGCCAACGGCAUAGCUGGGUAGCUAUGUGUGGACGGGAUAAGUGCUGAAAGCAUCUAAGCAUGAAGCCCCCCUCAAGAUGAGAUUUCCCAACUUCGGUUAUAAGAUCCCUCAAAGAUGAUGAGGUUAAUAGGUUCGAGGUGGAAGCAUGGUGACAUGUGGAGCUGACGAAUACUAAUCGAUCGAAGACUUAAUCAA
rnacentral:rRNA from 1 species